rnacentral:tRNA from 1 species
GGCCUCGUAGCUCAGCUGGUAGAGCAUGCGCGUACAAAGCGUAGGCGGCGUCCAUGCGUGGGUUCCAAUCCUACCGAGGCUA